GAUGAACGCUAGCGACAGGCCUAACACAUGCAAGUCGAGGGGCAGCACGAGGUAGCAAUACUUUGGUGGCGACCGGCGCACGGGUGCGUAACGCGUAUGCAACCUACCUAUAAUUGGGGGAUAGCCUUCUGAAAAGGAGAUUAACACCGCAUAAGACAAUAGAGCCGCAUGGCUUAGUUGUUAAAUAUUUAUAGAUUAUAGAUGGGCAUGCGUCUGAUUAGAUAGUUGGUGGGGUAACGGCCCACCAAGUCUACGAUCAGUAGGGGUUCUGAGAGGAAGGUCCCCCACACCGGAACUGAGACACGGUCCGGACUCCUACGGGAGGCAGCAGUGAGGAAUAUUGGUCAAUGGGCGAGAGCCUGAACCAGCCAAGUCGCGUGAAGGAAGACGGCCCUACGGGUUGUAAACUUCUUUUGUAGGGGGAUAAAAAAGAGUACGUGUACUCUCUUGUAGGUACCCUACGAAUAAGGAUCGGCUAACUCCGUGCCAGCAGCCGCGGUAAUACGGAGGAUCCAAGCGUUAUCCGGAUUUAUUGGGUUUAAAGGGUGCGUAGGCGGGUUGUUAAGUCAGUGGUGAAAGGUUGACGCUCAACGUUAACAUUGCCAUUGAAACUGACAGUCUUGAGUACAAAUGAGGUAGGCGGAAUGUGUUGUGUAGCGGUGAAAUGCAUAGAUAUGACACAGAACACCAAUUG
rnacentral:rRNA from 2 species